rnacentral:antisense_RNA from 1 species
UCAGCUAAGCAAGAGUAGGGGCCGCGUGGACCUGGGGAAGGCCAGACGACAAGUGUGCACCAGCCACAGGGCUCUGUCCCAGCCCCUUCUGGAAAGUUCCAGGCCUGUUUUGCUCCAGAGUUGGACGGCGUCAGGAAGUGAGCAGCCACAUGAGGGCAGGAGGCAUCGUUACGGCUGCCCCUCACGUCACCCCACAGCCCAGGCCCUGCAGCAGGGGACCCCAAGGCCCACUCAUGGGCGCAUGACAGCCACCCCGGCCAUGUCAGAGCCUUCCUGGGCUCAUCACGGACACUGAUACCUGCACCAGCAGGUAGCACAAGAGCCCGAGACGGGGACUCCCUUCCCUCCUGGGGAGAUGCCACCGAAACAGCUGGACAGACACGAGAGGCGGGGUCUGGCAAUGCGCACAGUGGGGACAGAGCAGGGCCGGGGCUAACAGAUGGCCCUGUGGAUGCGCCCUCACAAGCCAGCGAACUCCUCGAUGGUCAUGAGUGGGAAGCGAAUGAGGCCCAGGGCCUUGCCCAGAACCUUCCGCCUGUUCUCUGGCGUCACCUGCAGCUGCUGCCGCUGACACUCGGCCUCGGACCAGCGGACAACGGCAUUGAACAGCCGCACCUCACGGAUGCCCAGUGUGUCGCGCUCCAGGACAGCCACCAGCGUGUCU